GACGUAGGGCGCGAGCGUUGUCCGGAUUUAUUGGGCGUAAAGAGCUCGUAGGCGGCUUGUCGCGUCGUUCGUGAAAACCUGCAGCUCAACUGCAGGCUUGCGGUCGAUACGGGCAGGCUAGAGUUCGGUAGGGGAGACUGGAAUUCCUGGUGUAGCGGUGGAAUGCGCAGAUAUCAGGAGGAACACCAACGGCGAAGGCAGCUCGCUGGGACGGUACUGACGCUGAGGCGCGAAAGCGUGGGGAGCGAACAGG
rnacentral:rRNA from 1 species